rnacentral:rRNA from 1 species
CACGGAGUUAGCCGAUGCUUAUUCGUAGGGUACAUUCACUCCAGUACACGUACUAGUCUUUAUUCCCCUACAAAAGAAGUUUACAAUCCAUAAGACAGUCAUCCUUCACGCGACUUGGCUGGUUCAGGCUCUCGCCCAUUGACCAAUAUUCCUCACUGCUGCCUCCCGUAGGAGUCUGGUCCGUGUCUCAGUACCAGUGUGGGGGUUCAACCUCUCAGUUCCCCUACCCAUCGUUGCCUUGGUGAGCCGUUACCUCACCAACGAGCUAAUGGGACGCAUGCCUAUCUCACAGCGAAUUUCAUUUCCUUACCAAAGGAUGCCCUCCGAUAAGUGUACGCGGUAUUAGUCCGUCUUUCGACGGGUUAUCCCCCUCUGUGAGGCAAGUUGCAUACGCGUUACGCACCCGUGCGCCGGUCGCCAUCAGUCUUAGCAAGCUAAGACCAUGCUGCCCCUGACUUGCAUGUGUUAAGCCUAUCGCUAGCGUUCAUCCUGAGCC